CUGUGGCAAUGCUCUUUGGCCAGAGAAUUGAUUUUUGAGCGCCAUUUAUCUCAAUUCUCAUUCAAUUCUCUUUCAAUUCAUAUAUGCGCCUCCUUCCUCGUACGCCACUUCCUUCCACAAUACGAUUCACAAACCCUAAUUCAUCAAUCGUCGCUCUUUUCCUCCCUAGGUUUCUUCCUCUGCCAGUUUGUUCUUCAUUAAUCGCCGCUCUUUUCCUCCCAGCAGUCCCUCCAUAACAACAAUCGUUACUCGAAUUCGUCUCGAUUUGUUCUCCUAUUCUGAUGUUUGGCAUCCAGGUAACGGAUUUUGCGUUUUCUCUGGGUGUUGUCGAUCUCCGCUUCCUGAUUUAUACAGGAGAGAGAAAGAGAUGUGUUAAGAAUCUCUGAGCCACCACAGCUAACAUCGAAAUUGUCGGCGAACUCUAUCUCAUCCAGUAAGUGAGGAUAAACGAUGGCCGCAAUGGUGGCUGCAUUACGGUUCCUACGAUGAUGAUGAUGUUUAUUGGUUGAAUGUUUGAAGCUUAUUUGAGCGUGGUAAUCAUCGGAAGAAUCGGCCCCACUGCCUCGGUGUCAUAUCCGCCGUAUCUCCUUUCUUUGCCGCCUUUUGGCUACACGAAUGUUGCAAAUCUUUAUUUUGAGAUAGCCUAUAGCAGGCUUAUCUUAGUGGAAUUAUUGUAUACCUUUCUACUCAUGGUUUCAAGCAAGCAAUGUUGCAACUACUGUUAUCGGUGAUAUUUUGGAUUGUUGAUUCGCAUGGUCAAGUCUUUGAUAUUGAGAAUAUUGUUCGCUAUGGAUUGCGAGUUGAAGGAAGAGAUAGUGUACGGACCAUGAGAGUUGAAUAUCAUUAAAUUAAGUAUGUUCAUCUAUAUUUUCUA